GUAAGAUAAGCUAAAUAAGCUAGUGGGUUCAUACCCCGAAAAUGAGAAAAUCUCUUUUACUA
rnacentral:tRNA from 1 species